GUGCCAGCAGCCGCGGUAAUACGGAGGGUGCAAGCGUUAUCCGGAUUUACUGGGUUUAAAGGGUGCGUAGGUGGGUUGGGAAGUCAGUGGUGAAAUACUUUCGCUUAACGAAGGAACUGCCAUUGAUACUAUCAAUCUUGAAUGUAGUGGAGGUAGGCGGAAUGCGUCAUGUAGCGGUGAAAUGCUUAGAUAUGACGCAGAACACCAAUUGCGAAGGCAGCUUGCUACACUACUAUUGACACUGAGGCACGAAAGCGUGGGGAUCAAACAGGAUUAGAUACCCUGGUAGUCC
rnacentral:rRNA from 1 species